UUUCUUAGCCUCCCCUUAACCCGAUCCCUCGGCGAAAAGGGCCUAAUAUUAACUACUGGCUUGCUAUCCCUAGCCUCCCCUAGUAAUUAAUACCGCAUUAUAAACAGAAGUUAGCGCAAUUGAUCGUCCUACCCCUAUCCCUAGGUGGUAUUGCAAAAUCAAGAGAUUACUCACCAGUUCAUGUCAUUAUUGUACGUCCCCAUAUCAAUAAAAACAAACAUCAAUAUACCGAAUGAG
rnacentral:lncRNA from 1 species